GAUGAACGCUGACAGAAUGCUUAACACAUGCAAGUCAACUUGAAUUUGGGUUUUUAACUUAGAUUUGGGUGGCGGACGGGUGAGUAACGCGUAAAGAACUUGCCUCACAGCUAGGGACAACAUUUAGAAAUGAAUGCUAAUACCUGAUAUUAUGAUUUUAAGGCAUCUUAGAAUUAUGAAAGCUAUAAGCACUGUGAGAGAGCUUUGCGUCCCAUUAGCUAGUUGGAGAGGUAACAGCUCACCAAGGCGAUGAUGGGUAGCCGGCCUGAGAGGGUGAACGGCCACAAGGGGACUGAGACACGGCCCUUACUCCUACGGGAGGCAGCAGUGGGGAAUAUUGGACAAUGGACCGAGAGUCUGAUCCAGCAAUUCUGUGUGCACGAUGAAGUUUUUCGGAAUGUAAAGUGCUUUCAGUUGGGAAGAAAUAAAUGACGGUACCAACAGAAGAAGUGACGGCUAAAUACGUGCCAGCAGCCGCGGUAAUACGUAUGUCACGAGCGUUAUCCGGAUUUAUUGGGCGUAAAGCGCGUCUAGGUGGUUAUGUAAGUCUGAUGUGAAAAUGCAGGGCUCAACUCUGUAUUGCGUUGGAAACUGUGUAACUAGAGUACUGGAGAGGUAAGCGGAACUACAAGUGUAGAGGUGAAAUUCGUAGAUAUUUGUAGGAAUGCCGAUGGGGAAGCCAGCUUACUGGACAGAUACUGACGCUAAAGCGCGAAAGCGUGGGUAGCAAACAGG
rnacentral:rRNA from 1 species